GCUACCGAUUGRAURRUCCGGUGAAMUCCUCGGAUAGCGAAGAAUCUUCUAACUCGCAAGAGUUGGAAAUCAUUGCUAGAAGUUGAUUAAACCUUAUCAUCUAGAGGAAGCAAAAGUCGUAACAAGGUUUCCGUAGGUGAACCUGCGGRAGGAUCAUUA
rnacentral:rRNA from 1 species